CGGUGGUGAAGCUCUUGCCACAGCCCUCUGCUGGGCAGCCGAAGGGCCUCAGUUUGUCGUGUGACUGCAGAUGCCUCUUGAGCUUGUAGGAGGUGGUGAAGGUCCACCCACAACCACCCAGGGGCACUUGAAGGGCCGCUGGCCCUGGCUGCUGCUGUGUGUCAGCAGGUGCACCUUCAGCUGGUGCUUCUUUGCAAAGGUUUGUCCGCACUGCACCUCAGGACACAGGUACAGCAACACGCCCUGGCCUGGGCCUGGCGGCCCGCGGGGGCUCUCAACAGCCGCCGGGCCCUCCUCCUCCUCCUUGUGAGCUGGGGCAGGCGCAGGUUCUGCCCGCUCCGCCAGCAGGAGGUCGGGCGGCAGCUCGGGACAAUCUCCAGACUCCGCGGUGUGUGGGAUCCCAGCUUGCGGGGCGACCAGACCCCUGGGCUGCGGGGCAGGGGCGACCCCAGGCGCCCAGGCCGGCGGUGGGGGCGUGGCCAGAGUGAGAAUGCCAUUCUCCAAGCUCAACAGUAGGUUUUGGUUGUGAAUGGUGACUGUGCCUGCGAAGGCCGUGGCAGGGCCCAGGCCUGGAGCGGGGAUCGGGGCCAAGGCCGGGACUGGGGCGGGGAUAGCCGACAGGCAGCUGGGGCCCAGCGCAGGGCGGCCCUCGGGGUUCGCGCCGCUUUCGCCCCCCAGGAGCCUUGGGCCCAGCCCGGCCUCCUCCCUCCACACGGGCCCUGCGGCCUGGCCAGCGCCCGCGGUUUCUACGUCUCCACCCACCGGGUCCAGCAGCACCAGGAAGAAGUCAUCGCCGCCGCUCCCGCCGCCGCUGCCACAGCCGGUAGCGUGAUCGGGCCUCAGCGCCAAAGGGCUCGGGCCACGGAGCAGCAGGAGGCGGCGCGCCGGGGCCUGACCGGCCCGCAAGUUAGCACCUCCGCGGAUCCGGCCGCCACCCUCGGGGCUGCCAGCCCCGCCGGUUUGUCGCAUCCCGCGAGCCGGGAGCAGCCUCGGGAUUUCCAUCUCUUCGUCUGUGAAGCUCCCCUGGAACCAGAGCCGCGGAGGAGGUGCGACCCCGCCCCCUGCCGCGGGCCCGAACACGUUCCUGAAAGGGAAAAAAAAAAAAAAUGUACUGCGCAGAAACAGGCCCUAUCAGAUAUUAAAACGUGUUGAACGCCACCGUGAUUUAAAUAUUCUUGUACAGGGUCUCUAGAACAGAAUAAAACGCCCAGGGGCAGAGCCUCGUAUACAUAAACAAGUUCCACUGUUAAUAUUAGUAGGAAAUCAAGGAGGUUUUCAGAGAUACAAGGGAAAUGGCAGUUCACUUCAGUAAAAAGUGCUGAAAUGACUACCUUAGGUAUCUAUCUACUAAAUGACAAUAUAAACUGGAACCUCACGGUAUGUACCAAAAUAAACACAUACACCCCAGUCCCUCCCAGUGCUAAGCAUGGUAGUUAGCACUUACCAUGUGUUAAACACUGUGUAUUGGAUGGAUGGCUGGCUGGAUUGAUAGGUGACAGAAAAUUCCUGAGAGAAUACACUAUGGAAAAGGAUGUCUUUUUAAAAAUUUUCCUGGAAACUUCCAUAUUCAGAACUGUCUUGAGCAAUGUCCUCAGGAAAAUUUGUCCCAUAGUUAAAUUUUUCGUCCUGCUGUUGCAGAGACUAUAAUGAGUAAGAGGUGGGGUCAAAGCAGAUUAGCACUGUUGAGCCUAGAAAUGCAAGGCCUGGAGGAUGAAGUAGUUUAUAUUGAAAUCUGGAAGACCAAACCUCC
rnacentral:lncRNA from 1 species